UGGGGAAUAUUGCACAAUGGGCGCAAGCCUGAUGCAGCCAUGCCGCGUGUAUGAAGAAGGCCUUCGGGUUGUAAAGUACUUUCAGUCGGGAGGAAGGUGGUAAGGUUAAUAACCUUAUCAAUUGACGUUACCGACAGAAGAAGCACCGGCUAACUCCGUGCCAGCAGCCGCGGUAUACGGAGGGUGCAAGCGUUAAUCGGAAUUACUGGGCGUAAAGCGCACGCAGGCGGUUGAUUGAGUCAGAUGUGAAAUCCCCGGGCUUAACCCGGGAAUUGCAUCUGAUACUGGUCAGCUAGAGUCUUGUAGAGGGGGGUAGAAUUCCAUGUGUAGCGGUGAAAUGCGUAGAGAUGUGGAGGAAUACCGGUGGCGAAGGCGGCCCCCUGGACAAAGACUGACGCUCAGGUGCGAAAGCGUGGGGAGCAAACAGG
rnacentral:rRNA from 1 species